rnacentral:rRNA from 1 species
GCCCCGCAAGGGGAGUGUGCAGACGGGUGAGUAACGCGUGGGAACAUACCCUUUCCUGCGGAAUAGCUCCGGGAAACUGGAAUUAAUACCGCAUACGCCCUACGGGGGAAAGAUUUAUCGGGGAAGGAUUGGCCCGCGUUGGAUUAGCUAGUUGGUGGGGUAAAGGCCUACCAAGGCGACGAUCCAUAGCUGGUCUGAGAGGAUGAUCAGCCACAUUGGGACUGAGACACGGCCCAAACUCCUACGGGAGGCAGCAGUGGGGAAUAUUGGACAAUGGGCGCAAGCCUGAUCCAGCCAUGCCGCGUGAGUGAUGAAGGCCUUAGGGUUGUAAAGCUCUUUCACCGGAGAAGAUAAUGACGGUAUCCGGAGAAGAAGCCCCGGCUAACUUCGUGCCAGCAGCCGCGGUAAUACGAAGGGGGCUAGCGUUGUUCGGAAUUACUGGGCGUAAAGCGCACGUAGGCGGAUAUUUAAGUCAGGGGUGAAAUCCCAGAGCUCAACUCUGGAACUGCCUUUGAUACUGGGUAUCUUGAGUAUGGAAGAGGUAAGUGGAAUUCCGAGUGUAGAGGUGAAAUUCGUAGAUAUUCGGAGGAACACCAGUGGCGAAGGCGGCUUACUGGUCCAUUACUGACGCUGAGGUGCUAAAGCGUGGGGAGCAAACAGGAUUAAAUACCCUGG